GAAGAGACAGCGCCGCCGGCCGUGGGGAGCGGACGCAGCGAUUUGCUCCCCUUCGCGCAGCAACCCCCACACCCAGCACCAGGAGCCUGUUCCUCUCACACCCUCACCUGGCUGAGCCGCAGUAGUUCUUCAGUGGCAAGCUUUAUGUCCUGACCCAGCUAAAGCUGCCAGUUGAAGAACUGUUGCCCUCUGCCCCUGGCUUCGAGGAGGAGGAGGAGCUGCUUUCCCCAUCAUCUGGAAGGUGACAGAAAUGGGCUGGGAAGGUCCGAACAGCAGGGUUGAUGAUACGUUUUGGGAAAGUUGUAGAGCCUUUGCCCAGAUUGGCCCAGCAAGGAGCGGUUUUAGAUUAGAGACACUGGCUGAAUUGAGGAGUAGAAGGCUCAAACAACCCAAGGCUUUCUGCCUCCGAGAUGUGGCACCAUAGUGCAGUGCCCUGUGGCUUCACCGCCCUACUUCCACCUCCGCCCAGCCUGUAAUGUUUAUAAAAGCAGCCUCAAGGACCAAGAACCAUCUGCGAAAGGACAC
rnacentral:lncRNA from 1 species